UAGGAAAACUUAGCACUCUCUAGAAUCCACCAAAAGAGAUGCAUGAAUUUAUAGAGAAUGAUUAGUACCUCUCAAAUUAAAGUAGAUUAAUAUUCAAAUACUUUCGUUUCUACCUUCAAGGCUUAGAAGAGUGUGAUUUAAAUAGUCGAGACUUGGAACAACCUUCCAAACAUAGGCAUUUUCGUAAGAAUUCUGAUAGGCCCUUGUCAAAUACACCUAUUCUAGAAGGGUCAAGAAGGCGGUAGAGGACUUGGGUAAGUGUAAGUGUACAAGCAGCCUUCCACCCUAUAUCCUUGGAGGCAUAACCUGCGAUUUAUCUCCCUCACGAUGCUCCAGGGCAGGGGCGGUGGGGGACCCUUAAGGUUGGGGUUUAACCUUUUAAGAAGGCGGUAGAGGAGUAACAAAUUCUGUUGAGCAAAGAUGACAUGGCUAGAGUUAGUUACAGAUGAUGGUUAUAAAUAGAAUAGAUGCAUGGAGUCAAGGGAUAUGGAAAAAGUUUGUAAGCAAGUCUUAAUAGGAAAGUCAGGCCCUCUCGAACGGCCUCUACCAGUUACUGUGUUUGAGUUGUAUUUCUCAUUCAAUCAAUACAAUUAGUUUUCUCUUCCUAUUUUUCUCUUAUUUUUCCUUGAUUUUACAGUAGGACCCUAUCAUUGUGGCAUUAAAGCACCCUGUUCCUUUCGCAGUCAUGACUCUGGUGGACUAAGUAAGUGUGUUGGAACAAAAGGUGGACUGUAAUCAUCGUCAACUACAAACUAACCUGGAGGUAUUAUGAUUAGAGUUUCAUUCAAUGCAUACAGGCAUUAUGGAGAAGGUGGAUGUGCUGCUACAAGAUUGGGCAAGCCAGGAGAGAGAUUGCAAGGAAAAGGAGAUGGUAAAAUUACUAGCAUCAUCUGUCGAGUUUGGGCCAACCUAUUCCAGACCAAGUAGAAGCCAAUACAAGGGAGAUGGAGCUCUAGGAAAUUGGAGAGAAGAGUGGUGCGUAAGGCAUUUGGAUAUGCCUGUGUUCGACGACACGAAAUCAGAUGGUUGGAUUUUAGGGUGGAAAGAUAAUUUGGGAUCAACACGAUGAUCAAAGAAGAGAAGAUGGAUGCCGUUGUCGUAUGUUUGGACAAAGAGGCGUUAAUCUAGUUUAAAUGGGAGGAGAAAUGGUGGUCGAUUCGAAACUGGGAGGAGAUGAAGCUAAGGCUGCUACGACAUUGUCGAGCUUCACAAGAAGGGAAGUUGUGUGUCCAAUUUUUGGUAGUUAGGAAAGACACCACAAAAAGGUCUUAUCACCAGGGACUUGAAAUGUUGGUUGCACCCAUUGAACGGUUUAUCGAAGAAAGUGCUAGAAGAAAGUUCUAUGAAUGGGUUGAAGCCAAAAUUGAGGACAGAAGUCCAAUUAUAUAGGCUUUCUGGGCUGGAAAAAUGAUGGAAAUAGCCCAGAUGGUGGAAGAAAGAAAUUGAGUCGUAAAGGUUGGACAGUGGAGCCUAGGUCCAACAAAAUCUAAAGCAAUCACUCCUCCUAAUCCAAACUCCUCCUAAAGUCUUAACCCAAUACCCAAGCCCACCAUCCCUCUUAAUAUCAUCCUAAAUCAUAUGGCCGUCCCUAGUUUAUUCCCAAAACAGACCGUUCCGUUCAAACGACUCACAAAUGUCGAGGUACAAACUAAGCGUAAAAGGGGAUUAUGCUAUCGAUGUGAUGAAAAGUUUACGAUCGGCCACCAGUGUAAGAAUAAGGAGCUCCAAGAGCUUGUGAUCAGAGAGAUAAAAGUCACGUCGGAGGAAGAGUUGGCACACGACAGCAGUGAGGAAAGGGCUGUAAUUGGGAACACCGAAGUAGAAAAGGCUGAAGUAAAUCAGGCCAUUGAGCUGUCAAUUAACUCGGUUGUUGGACUCACCACUCUGGGAACGAUGAAGCUGAACUGUAAACUCGGCCAAAGGAGGUAGUUGUACUUAUUGAUAAUGGAGCAUCCCAUAAUUUUGUCAGUUCUGAAAUUGUUCAAUACCUGGGCAUUCCUUCGUCUGGAACCCUACGGUAUGGAAUGAUUAUGGGGAUGGAUCUCACUGUAAAAGGAGAAGUUGUAUGAAAACAGAUAUCUCUGAAGUUACAAAACAUGCUGGUGGUAGAGGACUUUUUACCCUUGGGGUUAGGGAGCUUGGAUGUCAUAUUGGAGAUGCAGUGGCUGCAAAAUUGGUAAGGAUGCAAGUAGAUUGGAAUACUUUGACGAUGACUUUCAACACAGCAGGAACCACGAUGACCCUUCAAGGAGACCAAAGUCUAAGUAAAACUCCAGUGUCACUAAGAAUGAUGUGAAAGUUUUUAGAGAGCAAGGAGAAGGGCUCUUGUUGGAAAUGGAAAAAAUCAUUAUUGAGGCCAAAAGAGCGCCUGAGCCACAAAAAAUCAUUGUCGAGGUAUUGAAGGAGUUUUCUACAUUUUUCGAGAAUAGCAGUAAGUUGUCCCCCCUCAUUGAGCUCAUGGCCAUUCUAUCAACCUACAAUCAGGAGCAGGCCCAAUUUGCACGAGGCCGUAUAGAUACCUGUAAUUCUAGAAAAAUGAAAAAUUGAGAAUUUAGUACCAAAAAUGCUUUCUAUAGGAGUUAUUUAGCAUAGCACAAGUCUAGUGCUCCUUGUGAAGAAAAAGGACGAGAGUUGGAGGUUUUGUAUUGACCAUCUGGCAAUGAUCAAGGUGACCAUUGUAGACAAAUUCCCAAUUUCUGGUCAUUGAUGAGCUGUUGGUUGAGCUACAGGGAUCAACCAUUUUUUUUGAAAAUUGAUCUAAAAUCAGGGUAUCAUCAAAUUAGGGUGAAGACUAGAGACAUUCCAAAAACUGUAUUCCACACUCACGAAGGCCAUUAUGAAAUCCUAGUUCUGCCAUUCGGCCUAAAAAAUGCAUUGGCAACCUUCCACCCUUUGAUGAACGAUAUAUUCAAGGUGCAAUUCUGAAGAUUUGUUCUAGUCUUUUUUGAUGAUAUUUUAGUUUAUAGCCGAACAGUAGAGGAGCACCAGGAGCAUUUGAGAUGGGUAAUACAACGGUUAGCAAAAUAUCAUCUAUUUGCCAAUAAAAAAAAAUGCUUGCUUGGUCAGAAAGAGCUAGAAUACCUCAAUCACAUAAUUUUAGGAAAGGGGGUAGCAGCUGAUGCAUCUAAAGUGGCCGCAACGGUAGCUUGGCCGUGACCAAAGUCCCUUAAAGAACUACGGGGAUUCCUUAGUCUAACAAGGUACUACCUGAGGUUUAUAAAAGCAUAUGGGAAGAUAGUGUGGCCACUAAUGCAACAAUUAAAGAAGGAUAACUUUGGAUGGAGUGAUGAGGUGGAGGCUGCUUUUGAGAGUGUGAAGAAGGCCAUGGUUUUGGCCCUAGUAUUGGCGCUUCUGAAUUUUUCAAACCUGUUUGUGAUCAAACCAAUGGAUUCAACCAUGGUUUGGGGGUGGUUUUGGUGCAACAUCAAAGACCCAUCACCUAUUUUAGUCAAGCUCUUCCAUCUCGAGUCCGUAGUAAGUCCAUUUAUGAAAUAAAGUUGAUGGCAAUCAUAUUUGCUGUGCAAAAAUGGAAGCACUAUCUGACUGGGAGGCAUUUUGUAGUCCAAAUUGAUUAGAAGAGUCUCAAAUUCUCAUUGGAACAACGACUAGUGAAUGAAGAACACCAAAAGUGGUUAACUAAGCUGCUGGGAUUUGAUUUUGACAUAGAAUACAAGCCUGGUUGGAAAAUAAAAUAGCAGAUGCCCUGUCCUGCAUUAAGUUAGCUACAACCUUGAUUACUCUUAGCAUACCAUGUGUACUACAGCAAGAUGACUUAUCAAAGGCAGUGAAGAAAGAUCCAGAGUUAACCCAAAUUCUCACAGCAUUACAAGCUGAUCUGUCGUCAUGCGUAGGGUUUGCACUGAUUUGGGGUGCACUAUUAUAUCAUGAAAAACUUGCCCUUCCUAAAGAUUUUCCAUUUGUGUUGUUAGCAUUACAAGAGGGACAUGAUAGCAAAAUUAAGUGUGAUGGGGGUUUCCUCAAGACAUAUAAAAGGAUAGCCAAAACAUUCUAUUGGAGAGGCACGAAGAAGGACAUUCGGGACUAUGUGGCAGCUUGUGCCACUUAUGAACAGAACACAUAUUCUACUCUCAUGCUUGUAGGGCUGCUUCAACCUUUAACAGUGCCAGAGGGAGUUUGGGAUGAUAUAUCCACGGAUUUUAUCGAAAGGUUGCCAAAAUCAGAUGGUUUUAACUCAAUCUUGGUAGUUGUGGAUCGUUUGAAUAGGUAUAUCACUUUGCGGAUCUCAAAUACCCCUUCUUAGUACCUUUUGUGGUGAUAGUUUUCAUUAAGAAAUAGUUCGAUUGCACGGCAUGCCACGAUCGAUAAUCUUUGAUCAUGACAAGGUGUUUGUCAGCAAAUUUUGGAGUGAGCUCUUUCAGUUGCAAAGCACUAAGCUAAGGUUGAGUUCAGCCUAUCACCCGUAAAUCAACUGUCAAACAGGGGUAGUCAACAGAAGCGUCGAAACAUAUUUGCGUUGCUUUACUUUUGGCAGGCUCGAGGAACGGUUUCAUUUUCUAUCAUGGGUGGAACUGUCUUAUAAAACCUCUUUCCAUGUGUCAACUCAAUUAACACGAUUUCAGAUCUUGUAUGGCCGGGAUCACCACCAGUCAUCCAUUUUGAGAAGGGGUCUAUCGUGGUAUCAUCACUUGAUCACCAGCUGCUAGAACGAGAUCAGUUAUUGGAUGAGCUAAAGAAGUAUUUGCAGCGAGCUCAACAAAAGAUGAAAGCUGCAGCUGACCAGCAUAGGAGGGUUGUUGAGUUUGCAAAUGGAGAGCUAGUCUAUCUGAGAAUGAGGCGCUAUCGUCUUAAAUCAUUAGCACAAUGUUUGAAUGAAAAGCUUGCUCCCAGGUACAAUGGGCCUUUGUAAGUGUUAGCAAAGGGUGGGCCAAUAGCUUGUAGACUGAAACUACCACUUGAAUCCUAAAUUCAUCCAGUCUUUCAUAUCUCUCAACUCAGAAACGCUGUGGGAAAAUUCCAUCUACUCUCCCACAAAAGCUAGGAGUAGAUUGGGAGUUAAAGGUAAAACUUGAAUCUCUAUUGGGAAUUCGUUCUGUACCAUUGGGCGAUAUUGAUAAGAUGGAGGUACCGAUUAAAUGGAUUGGGCUAUCACCAUUGGAAGCAACUUGUGAACCUUUUGAGUUCAUUAACCAACAAUUUCCUUCUUUCCACCUUGCGAACAAGGUGACUAAAUUGGGCGGGGUAAUUGAUAGGUCCCCUAUCAAAUACACCUAUUCUAGAAGGGUCAAGAAGGCAGUAGAGGAGUAAAAAAGUUCUGUUGAACAAAGAUGACAUGGCUAGAGUUAGUUACAGUUGGGAGUUAUAAAUAGAAUAGAUGCAUGGAGUCAAGGAAUAUGGAAAAGGUUGUAAGCAAGUCUUAAUAGGAGAGUCAUGCCUUCUUGAACGGCCUCUACCAGUUAUUGUGUUUGAGUUGUAUUUCCCAUUCAACCAAUACAAAUAGUUUUCUUUUGCUAUUUCUCUCCUGUUUUUCCUUGAUUCUACAGUACGACACUCUCAAGUUCUUAUAAA
rnacentral:lncRNA from 1 species